rnacentral:rRNA from 1 species
AACGAACGUUAGCGGCGCGCUUAACACAUGCAAGUCGUGCGAGAAAGGGCUUCGGCCCCGGUACAGCGGCGCACGGGUGAGUAACACGUAGGUAAUUUACCCCCAGGUGGUGGAUAACCUUCCGAAAGGAGGGCUAAUACAGCAUAAGACCACGGCUUCGAAAGGAGCUGAGGUCAAAGCCGGCCUCUUCACGAAAGCUGGCGCCAGGGGAUGAGCCUGCGGCCCAUCAGCGAGUUGGUAGGGUAACGGCCUACCAAGGCGACGACGGGUAGCUGGUCUGAGAGGAUGAUCAGCCACACUGGAACUGAGACACGGUCCAGACGCCUACGGGAGGCAGCAGUGGGGAAUCUUGCGCAAUGGGCGAAAGCCUGACGCAGCGACGCCGCGUGAGUGAUGAAGGCCCUCGGGUUGUAAAGCUCUGUGGAGGGGGACGAAUAAGGGCUGGCUAAUAUCCAGCCUGAUGACGGUACCCCUUUAGCAAGCACCGGCUAACUCUGUGCCAGCAGCCGCCGCGGUAA